rnacentral:rRNA from 1 species
CCCUGCCAUUUGUACACACCGCCCGUCGCUACUACCGAUUGAAUGGCUUAGUGAGCUCUCUGGACUGUUGCGCGCCGUUGGCAACUUCGGCGCGCAUACGGGAAGGAGAUCAAACUUGAUCAUUUAGA